UUUCCGUAGGUGAACCUGCGGAAGGAUCAUUAUUAAGUGAGGGCCCUCUGGGUCCAACCUCCCACCCGUGUUUACUGUACCUUGUUGCUUCGGUGAGCCCGCUUCACGGCCGCCGGGGGGCAUUUGCCCCCGGGCCCGCGCUCGCCGAAGACACCCUUCAACUCUGUCUGAAGUUUGCAGUCUGAGCGAAAACUAAAUAAGUUAAAACUUUCAACAACGGAUCUCUUGGUUCCG
rnacentral:misc_RNA from 1 species